CCGGCGAACAUAGUCGUGACUACGCAUGCGUUCCGGCACGAUUUCCUCAAGAAAGUCACUGAAAAGUACAAGGACAUUACUUGGCAAUAUAAAAAUUCUAUCCCCCGAAAACUUUCCAGUUUUCUGAGCGAAAAACUCCUCAAGGUGUUGUUUGCAAGCCUCUAAAGAAGUGAAAUUUUUUCCGUUACGUGAAUUCUGCAGAGAUCUGAAUAAGUGGAAACCUGAUGGUGCCAGGUCAAGUAAAUACGGUGGAUGAAGUAGGAUAUCCCAGCCAAGCUGCAGUAAUUUUUGACGGGUUGCCAAAACUAAUAUGAUAUUAUGAACUGUUUGAUAUGUAAACUUACAUGUGCAAAACGGAAGAAAAGAUUUUAAAUAACAAAUUGUCUGAUACAUGUCAGUGACUCAGGACUACAGAGAGUGUAAUAAACUAUUUACGUGAUUCGUAUGAUUUUGUCGUACAUGUCAGGCAAGUUUUCAAUGUCCUUUUGUAGGUUGAUGAUGUUGUUUUGUGAUAAGAAACAUCUCCGCGAUCUCUCUUUUUGUGUUAUGCUUUUCGUAGUGUAAAAUUUUUGGUUUUAACCAAUCAAAUUCAUGAUUGUUAAUAAGGCGAUGUUUGCUAACAACCGAAUGAUCAUUCACAUAUGCUUACAAAAGUUAGAUUUGUGUUCCCUAAUUCUAGUCUCCAAACGUCUUUUAGUUUGGCCAAUAUAAUUCGUGUCACAAUUUAAGCACUCAAUUUUAUAAACUAUUUCAGUACGUUGUAGGUUCGUCAAUGUAUCUUUACUUCUUUUAAUAAUGCAAUCCAGCUUGUAAACCGUAAUAAAGGUACUAACUUGCAUAUUUA